CACGACUUGUAAUUGCGAUGGGGGGACGGAGAAGGCUAGGUGGGCCAGGCGACGGUUGUCCUGGUGAAAGUGCGUAGGUGGUGUUUCUAGGCAAAUCCGGAGACACAACACUGAGACACGAGACGAACGCACUACGGUGCGGAAGCCAUUGAUGCCCUGCUUCCAGGAAAAGCCUCUAAGCUUCAGAUUACAAGUCAUCGUACCCCAAACCGACACAGGUGGUCGGGUAGAGAAUACCAAGGCGCUUGAGAGAACUCGGGUGAAGGAA
rnacentral:rRNA from 1 species